UGGGGAAUAUUGUACAAUGGAGGGAACUCUGAUGCAGCGACGCCGCGUGAACGAAGAAGGCUUUCGAGUCGUAAAGUUUUUUUAUAUGGGAAGAUAAUGACGGUACCAUAAGAAAAAGCCCCGGCUAACUACGUGCCAGCAGCCGCGGUAAUACGUAGGGGGCUAGCGUUGUCCGGAAUCACUGGGCGUAAAGGGUUCGCAGGCGGAAAUGCAAGUCAGGUGUAAAAGGCAGUAGCUUAACUACUGUAAGCAUUUGAAACUGCAUAUCUUGAGAAGAGUAGAGGUAAGUGGAAUUUUUAGUGUAGCGGUGAAAUGCGUAGAUAUUAAAAAGAAUACCGGUGGCGAAGGCGACUUACUGGGCUCAUUCUGACGCUGAGGAACGAAAGCGUGGGUAGCAAACAGG
rnacentral:rRNA from 1 species